rnacentral:rRNA from 1 species
AGUGAACGCUGGCGGUAGGCCUAACACAUGCAAGUCGAACGGCAGCACAGUAAGAGCUUGCUCUUACGGGUGGCGAGUGGCGGACGGGUGAGGAAUACAUCGGAAUCUACUUUUUCGUGGGGGAUAACGUAGGGAAACUUACGCUAAUACCGCAUACGACCUACGGGUGAAAGCAGGGGAUUUUCGGACCUUGCGCGAUUGAAUGAGCCGAUGUCGGAUUAGCUAGUUGGCGGGGUAAAGGCCCACCAAGGCGACGAUCCGUAGCUGGUCUGAGAGGAUGAUCAGCCACACUGGAACUGAGACACGGUCCAGACUCCUACGGGAGGCAGCAGUGGGGAAUAUUGGGCAAUGGGCGCAAGCCUGAUCCAGCCAUACCGCGUGGGUGAAGAAGGCCUUCGGGUUGUAAAGCCCUUUUGUUGGGAAAGAAAAGCAGCAGGUUAAUACCCCGCUGUUCUGACGGUACCCAAAGAAUAAGCACCGGCUAACUUCGUG